rnacentral:rRNA from 1 species
UGCCAGCAGCCGCGGUAAUACGGAGGGUGCAAGCGUUGUUCGGAAUUACUGGGCGUAAAGCGCGCGUAGGCGGCUUUAUAAGUCAGAUGUGAAAGUCCAUGGCUCAACCAUGGAAGUGCAUUUGAAACUGUAAGGCUUGAGUAUUGGAGGGGGUAGUGGAAUUCCCGGUGUAGAGGUGAAAUUCGUAGAUAUCGGGAGGAAUACCGGUGGCGAAGGCGACUAUCUGGCCAAAUACUGACGCUGAGGUGCGAAAGCGUGGGGAGCAAACAGGAUUAGAUA